CAGAAUCAGACGCACAAAGUGGUAAUAUGGAUUACCAGAUCCAGCUGCUCCUGCUUGUUAUUUGGUGGGCAGGUAUCAGGGGUCAAACACUGACUGAGUCUGAAUCAGUGGUUAAAAGACCUGGAGAAUCCCACAAACUGAUUUGUACAUAUUCAGGGUUUAGUGGCAAUCCCUCUAUAGCUUGGAUCAGACAGGCUGCAGGAAAAGGACUGAAAUGGAUCGCUUAUAUCAAUUAUGACAGCAGCUACAUCUCCUACUCAGAGUCAGUGAAAAACCGCUUCACCAUCUCCAGAGACAACAGCAGAAAGCAGGUGUAUCUGCAGAUGAACAGUCUGAGAGCUGAGGAUUCUGCUGUUUAUUACUGCGCUCGAUGACACAGUGACUCAAGAGACACAAACUCUGUACAAAAACAUAUCUGGGUUUUAGCUGAUUUGGCUUUUUAAAUUAGUUUCAUAUCAUUAAACAACUCAGAGAAAAAUCUCUUAAAUAAAUAAAUAAAAAGUUUACUCGUAGAUCACAUUAAAAACAUAUAGGAUUGCCAAAGUACUUCAAAGCUAUAAAAAUAAAGAAAAUUAUCAGGUUUAAAA